GGGAGCAUGGCGGAAUUGGUAGACGCAGCGGACUUAAAAUCCGCAGACGGCAACGUUGUGGGGGUUCAAGUCCCCCUGCUCCCAUCA
rnacentral:tRNA from 1 species